rnacentral:rRNA from 1 species
UACGAAGGGGGCUAGCGUUGUUCGGAAUCACUGGGCGUAAAGGGCGCGUAGGCGGCCGUUCAAGUCGGGGGUGAAAGCCUGUGGCUCAACCACAGAAUGGCCUUCGAUACUGGACGGCUCGAGACCGGAAGAGGUCAGUGGAACUGCGAGUGUAGAGGUGAAAUUCGUAGAUAUUCGCAAGAACACCAGUGGCGAAGGCGGCUGACUGGUCCGGUUCUGACGCUGAGGAGCGAAAGCGUGGGGAGCGAACAGG